GCCCCCGAACGUCCCCGCCGGCGGAUGCUCGGCCCGGGCGGCGACGAAGAGCGCGGCGACGAGACGCGGUGCGGAGCACGCCACGCCCGAGAAGCACGACCCUCCGAUACUGCAGCUGCCCGGCCCU
rnacentral:rRNA from 1 species